UACGUAGGGCGCAAGCGUUUGUCCGGAAUUAUUGGGCGUAAAGAGCUUGUAGGCGGUUUGUCGCGUCUGCCGUGAAAAUUCGAGGCUCAACCUCGAACUUGCGGUGGGUACGGGCAGACUAGAGUGUGGUAGGGGAGACUGGAAUUCCUGGUGUAGCGGUGAAAUGCGCAGAUAUCAGGAGGAACACCGAUGGCGAAGGCAGGUCUCUGGGCCACUACUGACGCUGAGAAGCGAAAGCAUGGGGAGCGAACAGG
rnacentral:rRNA from 1 species